UACGAAGGGGGCUAGCGUUGCUCGGAAUUACUGGGCGUAAAGGGCGCGUAGGCGGACAGCUUAGUCAGAGGUGAAAGCCCAGGGCUCAACCUUGGAACUGCCUUUGAUACUGGCUAUCUUGAGUUCGGGAGAGGUGAGUGGAAUGCCGAGUGUAGAGGUGAAAUUCGUAGAUAUUCGGCGGAACACCAGUGGCGAAGGCGACUCACUGGCCCGAGUACUGACGCUGAGGCGCGAAAGCGUGGGGAGCAAACAGG
rnacentral:rRNA from 1 species